AACGAACGCUGGCGGCAUGCCUAACACAUGCAAGUCGAACGAGAACUUCGGGUCUAGUGGCGCACGGGUGCGUAACGCGUGGGAACCUGCACUUGGGUUAGGAAUAACUCCCCGAGAGGGGUGCUAAUACAGGAUAGUGUCUUCGGACAAAAGAGUUAUCGCCUUUGGAUGGGCGUGCGUUGGAUUAGCUGGUUGGUAGGGUACAAGCCGACCAAGGGGACGAUCCAUAGCUGGUCUGAGAGGAUGAUCAGACACACUGGGACUGAGACACGGCCCAGACUCCUACGGGAGGCAGCAGUGGGGAAUAUUGGACGAUGGGCGAAAGCCUGAUCCAGCAAUGCCGCGUGAGUGAUGAAGGCCUUAGGGUUGUAAAGCUCUUUUACCCGGGAUGAUAAUGACAGUACCGGGAGAAUAAGCUCCGGCUAACUCCGUG
rnacentral:rRNA from 1 species